UACGUAGGGGGCGAGCGUUGUCCGGAGUUACUGGGCGUAAAGGGCGCGUAGGUGGCGGGAUAAGCGUGUGGUGAAAGCCCGGGGCUCAACCCCGUGUCUGCCAUGCGGACUGUCUUGCUCGAGCGUAGUAGAGGCAGGUGGAAUUCCGGGUGUAGCGGUGGAAUGCGUAGAGAUCCGGAAGAACACCGGUGGCGAAGGCGGCCUGCUGGGCUACUGCUGACACUGAGGCGCGACAGCGUGGGGAGCAAACAGG
rnacentral:rRNA from 1 species